GAUGAACGCUGGCGGCGUGCUUAACACAUGCAAGUCGAACGAAGCACUUUAUUUGAUUUCCUUCGGGACUGAUUAUUUUGUGACUGAGUGGCGGACGGGUGAGUAACGCGUGGGUAACCUGCCUUGUACAGGGGGAUAACAGUUGGAAACGGCUGCUAAUACCGCAUAAGCGCACAGCAUCGCACGAUGCAGUGUGAAAAACUCCGGUGGUAUAAGAUGGACCCGCGUUGGAUUAGCUAGUUGGUGAGGUAACGGCCCACCAAGGCGACGAUCCAUAGCCGACCUGAGAGGGUGACCGGCCACAUUGGGACUGAGACACGGCCCAAACUCCUACGGGAGGCAGCAGUGGGGAAUAUUGCACAAUGGGCGAAAGCCUGAUGCAGCGACGCCGCGUGAGCGAAGAAGUAUUUCGGUAUGUAAAGCUCUAUCAGCAGGGAAGAUAAUGACGGUACCUGACUAAGAAGCACCGGCUAAAUACGUG
rnacentral:rRNA from 1 species